GAUGAACGCUGGCGGCGUGCCUAAUACAUGCAAGUCGAGCGAACAGAUAAGGAGCUUGCUCCUUUGACGUUAGCGGCGGACGGGUGAGUAACACGUGGGUAACCUACCUAUAAGACUGGGAUAACUUCGGGAAACCGGAGCUAAUACCGGAUAACAUUUGGAACCGCAUGGUUCUAAAGUGAAAGAUGGUUUUGCUAUCACUUAUAGAUGGACCCGCGCCGUAUUAGCUAGUUGGUAAGGUAACGGCUUACCAAGGCGACGAUACGUAGCCGACCUGAGAGGGUGAUCGGCCACACUGGAACGGAGACACGGUCCAGACUCCUAAGGGAGGCAGCAGUAGGGAAUCUUCCGCAAUGGGCGAAAGCCUGACGGAGCAACGCCGCGUGAGUGAUGAAGGGGUUCGGCUCGUAAAACUCUGUUAUUAGGGAAGAACAAAUGUGUAAGUAACUGUGCACGUCUUGACGGUACCUAAUCAGAAAGCCACGGCUAACUACGUG
rnacentral:rRNA from 1 species